GAUGAACGCUGACAGAAUGCUUAACACAUGCAAGUCAACUUGAAUUUGGGUUUUUAACUUAGGUUUGGGUGGCGGACGGGUGAGUAACGCGUAAAGAACUUGCCUCACAGCUAGGGACAACAUUUGGAAACGAAUGCUAAUACCUAAUAUUAUGAUAAUAGGGCAUCCUAUAAUUAUGAAAGCUAAAAGCGCUGUGAGAGAGCUUUGCGUCCCAUUAGCUAGUUGGAGAGGUAACGGCUCACCAAGGCGAUGAUGGGUAGCCGGCCUGAGAGGGUGAUCGGCCACAAGGGGACUGAGACACGGCCCUUACUCCUACGGGAGGCAGCAGUGGGGAAUAUUGGACAAUGGACCGAGAGUCUGAUCCAGCAAUUCUGUGUGCACGAUGAAGUUUUUCGGAAUGUAAAGUGCUUUCAGUUGGGAAGAAACAAAUGACGGUACCAACAGAAGAAGUGACGGCUAAAUACGUGCCAGCAGCCGCGGUAAUACGUAUGUCACGAGCGUUAUCCGGAUUUAUUGGGCGUAAAGCGCGUCUAGGUGGUUAUGUAAGUCUGAUGUGAAAAUGCAGGGCUCAACUCUGUAUUGCGUUGGAAACUGUAUAACUAGAGUACUGGAGAGGUAAGCGGAACUACAAGUGUAGAGGUGAAAUUCGUAGAUAUUUGUAGGAAUGCCGAUGGGGAAGCCAGCUUACUGGACAGAUACUGACGCUGAAGCGCGAAAGCGUGGGUAGCAAACAGG
rnacentral:rRNA from 1 species